AGCAAAGGUGUUCUUCUAUCUUUUCCAGGUGCUGAUGAUGGAGAGGCUGCAGAAUCUGGAUCAACAAGAUCAACGAUGAACACCAACGGUGGACCACAGCCAUAGAAGACAGGAGUCUCCAUUCAGCUCUUAGCGUAUGACCAGUGGUAUCCAGGACUUUUAAUGGAGUCUGACCACCAGGAAGGCACUCCCAGCAACUGUCAAGAACCUCUUUUCCCUCUCCUGGCCACGUGCAGGCUCCCAUAUUCAUCUGUGCCUGGAUGCAGUCUCUCUCAGUCUGGCCCCGCACCCAUUUGAUGCAGAUUUCUUCCCCUUCAUCUGCCAAGAGCAUGGUAGCAGAGAGUUCCCUCACCAGUGGAGUCCCUGCCCAUUUGUGGUUCUUAAGCAGCUGUGGGUUUCUCUUCUCGCAUCUCAUCAACAG